GGGUGAUUAGCUCAGUUGGUAGAGCGUCUGCCUUACAAGCAGAAUGUCGGCGGUUCGACUCCGCCAAUACCCACCA
rnacentral:tRNA from 1 species